rnacentral:rRNA from 1 species
GUGGGGAAUAUUGGACAAUGGGCGAAAGCCUGAUCCAGCCAUGCCGCGUGUGUGAAGAAGGUCUUCGGAUUGUAAAGCACUUUAAGUUGGGAGGAAGGGCAGUAAGUUAAUACCUUGCUGUUUUGACGUUACCGACAGAAUAAGCACCGGCUAACUUCGUGCCAGCAGCCACGGUAAUACGAAGGGUGCAAGCGUUAAUCGGAAUUACUGGGCGUAAAGCGCGCGUAGGUGGUUUUGUAAGUUGGAGGUGAAAUCCCCGGGCUCAACCUGGGAACUGCCUCCAAAACUGCAUGACUAGAGUACGGUAGAGGGUAGUGGAAUUUCCUGUGUAGCGGUGAAAUGCGUAGAUAUAGGAAGGAACACCAGUGGCGAAGGCGACUACCUGGACUGAUACUGACACUGAGGUGCGAAAGCGUGGGGAGCAAACAGGAUUAGAUACCCGGGUAGUCC